rnacentral:rRNA from 1 species
GUCGAGGGGCAGCACGAUGUAGCAAUACAUUGGUGGCGACCGGCGCACGGGUGAGUAACGCGUAUGCAACCUACCUAUCAGAGGGGAAUAACCCGGCGAAAGUCGGACUAAUACCGCAUAAAACAGGGGUUCCACAUGGAAAUAUUUGUUAAAGAAUUAUCGCUGAUAGAUGGGCAUGCGUUCCAUUAGAUAGUUGGUGAGGUAACGGCUCACCAAGUCCACGAUGGAUAGGGGUUCUGAGAGGAAGGUCCCCCACACUGGUACUGAGACACGGACCAGACUCCUACGGGAGGCAGCAGUGAGGAAUAUUGGUCAAUGGGCGAGAGCCUGAACCAGCCAAGUCGCGUGAAGGAUGAAGGAUCUAUGGUUUGUAAACUUCUUUUAUAUGGGAAUAAUGUGAGGAACGUGUUCCUUUUUGUAUGUACCAUAUGAAUAAGCAUCGGCUAACUCCGUGCCAGCAGCCGCGGUAAUACGGAGGAUGCGAGCGUUAUCCGGAUUUAUUGGGUUUAAAGGGUGCGUAGGUGGUUAAUUAAGUCAGCGGUGAAAGUUUGUGGCUCAACCAUAAAAUUGCCGUUGAAACUGGUUGACUUGAGUAUAUUUGAGGUAGGCGGAAUGCGUGGUGUAGCGGUGAAAUGCAUAGAUAUCACGCAGAACUCCGAUUGCG